GGUCAUUUAGAGGAAGUAUAUUUGUCACAGCUUACCGAUAGGUGAACCUGCGGAAGGAUCAUUAUCGAAUGAACAUGGGGAUCGGUUGUCGCUGGCUUCUUCAUCGAGGCAUGUGCACGCCUUUCUCUAUUCAUCCAACACACACCUGUGAACUGUGAGACGGAUAGUAGUCUCCCUCUGGUUUUAUUCAUUUAAUUCCCGGGGGGUCGACGAGGUCGUCUGUCAUACAUAAACUCCAAUUAAAUAAAUCUGAAUGUAAUCUGAUGUAACACAUCUAUAAACUAAGUUUCAACGACGGAUCUCUUGGCUCUCGCAUCGAUGAAGAACGCAGCGAAAUGCGAUAAGUAAUGUGAAUUGCAGAAUUCAGUGAAUCAUCGAAUCUUUGAACGCACCUUGCGCUCCUUGGUAUUCCUCGGAGCAUGCCUGUUUGAGUAUCAUGAAAUUAUCAAAUAAAUCUUUUGUUCACUCGAUUGAUUUUAUUUUGGACUUGGGGGUCUGCAGAUUCACGUCUGCUCCCCUUGAAUGCAUUAGCUGGAUCACUGUAGACUCGGUUCCACUCGGCGUGAUAAGUAUCACUCGCUGAGGACACUCUGUAAAAGGAGUGGCCGGGACUAUCAGAGAACCGCUUCCAAUAGUCCAUUUGCUUGGACAAUUACAUAUUAUGAUCUGAUCUCUUAAUCAGUGUAGGACUACCGGCAGAAACCUACGCCCUUUUAAUUAACC
rnacentral:rRNA from 1 species